AACGCGAAGAACCUUACCUGGGCUCGAAAUGCAGGAGACCGGGGUAGAAAUAUCCUUUCCCCGCAAGGGGCUGCUGUAUAGGUGCUGCAUGGCUGUCGUCAGCUCGUGCCGUGAGGUGUUGGGUUAAGUCCCGCAACGAGCGCAACCCUUACUCAUAGUUGCUACCCGCAAGGGAGAACUCUAUGAGGACUGCUCCGGAUAACGGAGAGGAAGGUGGGGAUGAGGUCAAGUCAGCAUGGCCUUUAUGUCCAGGGCUACACACGUGUUACAAUGCGCGCUACAGAGCGUUGCAAACCCGCGAGGGGGAGCUAAUCGCACAAAAGCGCGCUCAGUUCGGAUUGCAGUCUGCAACUCGACUGCAUGAAGCCGGAAUCGCUAGUAAUGGCGCAUCAGAACGGCGCCGUGAAUACGUUCCCGGGCCUUGUACACACCGACUGUAC
rnacentral:rRNA from 1 species